rnacentral:rRNA from 1 species
UACGAAGGGGGCUAGCGUUGCUCGGAAUCACUGGGCGUAAAGGGUGCGUAGGCGGGUCUUUAAGUCAGGGGUGAAAUCCUGGAGCUCAACUCCAGAACUGCCUUUGAUACUGAAGAUCUUGAGUCCGGGGAGAGGUGAGUGGAACUGCGAGUGUAGAGGUGAAAUUCGUAGAUAUUCGCAAGAGCACCAGUGGCGAAGGCGGCUCACUGGCCCGGUACUGACGCUGAGGCACGAAAGCGUGGGGAGCAAACAGG